AGAGAGAGAGAGAGAGUAAAUUAUCUGGAAAAUAUAAACUUACCUUGCAUUAACGAAAAUGUUUUGCUUGAUUUUGAUGAAAACAUGGUCACAUUAGCAACUUUUAGAAAAUAUUUUCCAUGAAAAAAAUGUGAACCAAACACCCAAAAAGUAGGAACUUGAGUAUAAAAAAUGAUAUUUUCCAUGGAAAAUAAAGCCAAUCAAAUACACCCUUGGUUAUUUGAAAUAGAUUGGAGGGAAUUGAAAAUGCUGCUGGAGUGGAAACUGCCCACUGUUAGUAUCUCACAGGAUCAGUGUUGAGCAGAAGGUGCCACCAAAAAAAGGUACGAAAGCAUAUCGAUUCAAGUUGAUUUGGCAAGAUAGUUUCCACAAAUGGUGCUCGGUGACUCCUGAAAGAUUGGCCAAAUGUAGAAGAGAACCCUAAUGAAGACACGAGUGUAUGGAGUUUACAUUUAAGGAAACUUAUUUUUAAAUUUUGAAUGCCCUUGAUGUUCAUUGACUAUCAUAUAUAUUUUGUUUCAUUGACUUUAUAUGUGCAGAUCAUUUAGUACUUGCAUCAGCAUCUAUUACAAAAUUUCUUCCAUUCAUGUUCA